UACGUAGGGAGCGAGCGUUAUCCGAAUUUAUUGGGUGUAAAGCGUGUGUAGGCAGUUUUUUAAGUCCAAGGUUUAAUGCCGAAGCUUAACUUCGGUCAGCCUUGGAAACUGAUUUACUUGAGUGUGGUAGAGGCAAAUGGAAUUUCUAGUGUAGCGGUAAAAUGCUUAGAUAUUAGAAGGAACACCAGUGGCGAAGGCGAUUUGCUGGGCCAUUACUGACGCUGAGGCACGAAAGCGUGGGGAGCAAAUA
rnacentral:rRNA from 1 species